AGGCUCCCAAAGGCACGUGU
rnacentral:snRNA from 1 species